CUGAACCAGCCAAGUAGCGUGAAGGAUGACUGCCCUAUGGGUUGUAAACUUCUUUUAUAAAGGAAUAAAGUCGGGUAUGGAUACCCGUUUGCAUGUACUUUAUGAAUAAGGAUCGGCUAACUCCGUGCCAGCAGCCGCGGUAAUACGGAGGAUCCGAGCGUUAUCCGGAUUUAUUGGGUUUAAAGGGAGCGUAGAUGGAUAUUUAAGUCAGUUGUGAAAGUUUGCGG
rnacentral:rRNA from 1 species